GAUGAACGCUGGCGGCGUGCCUAAUACAUGCAAGUCGAGCGAACAGACGAGGAGCUUGCUCCUCUGACGUUAGCGGCGGACGGGUGAGUAACACGUGGAUAACCUACCUAUAAGACUGGGAUAACUUCGGGAAACCGGAGCUAAUACCGGAUAAUAUAUUGAACCGCAUGGUUCAAUAGUGAAAGACGGUUUUGCUGUCACUUAUAGAUGGAUCCGCGCCGCAUUAGCUAGUUGGUAAGGUAACGGCUUACCAAGGCAACGAUGCGUAGCCGACCUGAGAGGGUGAUCGGCCACACUGGAACGGAGACACGGUCCAGACUCCUACGAGAGGCAGCAGUAGGGAAUCUUCCGCAAUGGGCGAAAGCUUGACGGAGCAACGCCGCGUGAGUGAUGAAGGUCUUCGGAUCGUAAAACUCUGUUAUUAGGGAAGAACAAAUGUGUAAGUAACUAUGCACGUCUUGACGGUACCUAAUCAGAAAGCCACGGCUAACUACGUG
rnacentral:rRNA from 1 species